rnacentral:rRNA from 1 species
AGGAUUAACGCUGGCGGCGUGCCUAACACAUGCAAGUCGAACGAGGUAGCAAUACCUAGUGGCAGACGGGUGAGUAACGCGUGGUCAACCUACCGUUGAGUGGGGGAUAACUAGCCGAAAGGUUAGCUAAUACCGCAUACGAGUCUCGGGGGCAUCCCUGGGCCUUAAAAGGAGCAAUCCGCUCGAUGACGGGACCGCGUCCCAUUAGCUAGGUGGUGGGGUAAUGGCCUACCAUGGCUCCGAUGGGUAGCUGGUUUGAGAGAGCGACCAGCCACACUGGGACUGAGAAACGGCCCAGACUCCUACGGGAGGCAGCAGUGAGGAAUUUUCCGCAAUGGGCGAAAGCCUGACGGAGCGACGCCGCGUGUGGGAAGAAGGCCUUCGGGUCGUAAACCACUGUCGAAGGGGACGAUAAUGACGGUACCCUUGGAGGAAGCCCCGGCUAACUACGCGCCAGCAGCCGC